rnacentral:rRNA from 1 species
UUUGAUCCUCGCUCAGAUUGAACGCUGGCGGCAUGCUUUACACAUGCAAGUCGGACGGCAGCGGGGGCUUCGGCCUGCCGGCGAGUGGCGAACGGGUGAGUAAAGCGUCGGAACGUACCGAGUAAUGGGGGAUAACUGUCCGAAAGGACAGCUAAUACCGCAUACGCUCUGAGGAGGAAAGCGGGGGACCUUCGGGCCUCGCGUUAUUCGAGCGGCCGACGUCUGAUUAGCUAGUUGGUGAGGUAAAGGCUCACCAAGGCGACGAUCAGUAGCGGGUCUGAGAGGAUGAUCCGCCACACUGGGACUGAGACACGGCCCAGACUCCUACGGGAGGCAGCAGUGGGGAAUUUUGGACAAUGGGCGCAAGCCUGAUCCAGCCAUGCCGCGUGUCUGAAGAAGGC